rnacentral:tRNA from 1 species
GGAGAGGUGCCGGAGUGGUUGAACGGGGCGGUCUCGAAAACCGUUAAAGACGCAAGUCUUUCGAGGGUUCGAAUCCCUCCUUCUCCG